GUUCAACACUUUUAACUCCGUUUGCAACCACGUAAACAUUAAAACAGUAACACUUGUGCUUUUGCUAACUAAAGUGUUCCCAGAGAAAACUUCAGAAUGCAGAUUAGGUUCAAGUUUAUUGUAAUAAUGAUGUCGAACCCUCUGACAGCAUAUUUCAGUCCGACCCAUCCUCCUCCUCACAGUCGAGGGUUCUCGCUGCUCUUUAGGCCUACAUGAGUACUGAUCCAGGAUAUUUCUGCUGUUCAGGAGAAGCUGAUGCUCUUCUGAGAACCCAGCUUAAGCCAGUCAUCCCCAAACGUCCUGCUGGGCUCCUUCCACCUCAAAAAGUAGGAGGAGCGGCCGUGCAUGCGUUCUCCUCUCCUCCGUCCAUCAGCUCGGCAGAGAGAGUGCAGCUCAGACCACAUGCUCGUACAGCAGAGAAUGGACACCAGGAGAGUUCAGCAGGUGUAGCCAGAGCCGGUUCCCCUGGAAAAGAGCGGUUUCCCCAAGCCCCACUUCCACGGAGGAGCCCCUGCAAACCUUCUCGCUGUGAGAAAUCCCAAUCUACCGGAGAUGGUGAGUCUAGUCCUGCUUCUGUUUCAGCCACCAAUAUUCACCCUGUAUGUUUGUGGGUGUGUGAAGGUCUAUGUCCAUGUGUGUGUGUUAGCAGGGAGUCUUCCUAAGCCAUGCCAUCUGAUGAAGCCCCUCCCACAGCGCAGGGUGGUGUCGGUCCAUGAGGACACUUUGGCCAUGACGGAAGAGCUGAAGGCGGUCUUGCGGAGGUCACCUGUGCACCUUCAGGUCUCUGGAGUGGAUCAGCUGACCUGCUCUCAGGUUCCAUCUCGUAGCCAGCAACACCAACCAGCCGGUGACAGAGGGAACGCUGAAGAACUGGAAUAUGUCCUUCAGGCGGAGCUGAUGGCUGAGGGAGGAGGUCUGAGCGGCACAAGAGGAAGCGGUGACUCCAGACACGUCCAUCCAGGAGAGGAAGAAUGCUCAAGCUCCAGAUGGUUUUCCUCUAAAGCUCAACGAUUAGCUCCUGCAGUGUUGGACCCCACCCUGGAAAAAAAACCUCACUCGCAAACUAUAGCAAAAAUGGUGGCACCCACACCGGGUCCAGAAAAGACCUCAAGUAGAGUCCCAGAGUCACAAGAGCCACCUGAAGCCAUCCAGGCAGAUCAUGUCCACAGAACUGUUGCCUCUAAACCGGAUGUGAGGAACAGCACACAGGAGGGGACAGAGACAGGUUCCAAAGGACACAAAACAAAGUCCGAAGCAGCUGUCCUCCCUGUCUGAAAGAGAGACCAGGAGCAGGUCUGGGACAUCACGGAGACCGGAGACAGAGCCCCUGUUAUUCUGAUGAUGUUGUCACUCCUGGAUACUCAGAGUUGGGGAGAGAUUGCUGGGUAUCAGACACUCGGUACGUUUACGUGGACACAUUAAUCCAGCUAUGCUCAAACGUUACACAGAUAAUAGGAGCAUCUUCUCCUCCUCCUGCUCCUCCUCCUCCUCCUGCUCCUCAACACUAGGAGGACAGAUGCAUUUUUUCCAGUGCUUUAAUCCAGUCCUCUUUCCAGUUGACAUCCUACAUCACAUAAUAAAGAAGCUAAUGUUCAUCUACAACGGAUGGACAUUACUUAUUGUCCAGGUCAGAUACGCCGAGCUUUCUUGGAUGUUUUUGUUCUGGGCGGAGCUUGUGGAGCGUCACCAUGGCAACCAUGGGUAGCUCAGGCACAUACGGUUAGUUAGUUAGUUAGUUAGACUAACGUGAUGCACUGCAGUUGUCCAGUUACGGUAGGAUUAAGGCGUGUCACGUAAACGUACUGAUUGUUAAAGUAACCCCGGGGAUUUCUCCCCACUACUGGCUGGAGUUCACAUUUACAUACUUGAGUUAAAAGUCACAUGUCUGACUACCACUUGUGAAGAUGUAACACAACAAAUGCGCACAACCCCAUGAAACCAAACCAGGACCAAAAACCGUCUUCAGCUCCAGGGUCACCUGAGUCAUCACGCCAAACUGGUGUCACAUGUUUGGUGUCACAUGACGAGAGCCAGAAUCAGAUCCUCGCUCUCACAGCCACCCGAGAAUAAACAUAUUUGAUCUAUGCAGACGACGUCGCUGACAACACGUGUCCAUGGCAACCGGUAGUGAAGCGCCGAGGUCGUCAUUUUAAUUUGGAUGGCAGUUUAUUUUUGCUCAGCAUGUAUCAAUCAAUAAUUUAGAUGUCGAAAGCAAAUAGAAAUAAUCGUUUAUAUGUAUUUUUAAGCCACACUGACUUUGAUACACAGUCUAAUUCAAGUAUUUGAACUUUUGCAGAUAUUUUUGCUCAUGUCACUCUUAAUGCAUGUUUUGAAGUAUUUGUGUGCACAUCUGGAUGCAGCUGUCAUGUUAGUUGAUCACAUCUGUCCUCUCACAGGAGGAUCAAUAUGAUCAAUAUGAUCACUGAUCAAAUAUUAGAUACAGUCGUAGUCUCUGGAACUCAGGGCGGUUAUUUACAACUAUCUUUGUAUCCGCGUGUGUGUGUGUGUGUGUGUGUGUGUGUGUGUUUUGUAAAAGAGUUGGUCUCUCUCCUUGUUUGACUCGCACCUCUGCUUUGCACACACAAAACUACAUAUGAAAGUCAUAAAGAAACAUUACAAACCUAUUAAACCUGUAUCCGACCUCUAGACUUGUGAUGAUUAAAACAGGAAUUCCUGAGAAGCUCCGCUGACAUUUGUUCUCUGUUGUUGGAGUUUUGACGUUUCUUCUUCACAUUGAUGUAUUGUCUCACUUGGGACGUGUCCCCUCUUCAACCAGGUUUAAUCUCUUCUGUUAUUUUAUGUCCUCAAUUAAACAAAACAAGCAAAAACAAAAAAAACAGCCGCCUGACUGACUUGGAUCGGACCCCCAGCGGUGACACUUGAUCCUGGGACCAUUUUUGUUGAUCGUUUUGGGUGAUUGAGUCCAGCACAAGCAGGACUGAGCAGGAAAGGGUCCAAGAUGUGACCAAGAACCUAAUGAUCAAGCUGGCUGAACCACAAGUGAAACCCGCCACCAGUUUAAGACAGCAGCUCC
rnacentral:lncRNA from 1 species